UACAUUUAGUGGUUUAGUGAGUGAAGACGUGCAUUUUGCCGCAUACGAUUCACCGCCAUUAAAGCGGUGAAUGCCGUUAUUUGCACCGACAACACCGGUAAGAAACAGUUACGUAAAAGUGGCUUUUUUCUGGAUAUUAUCCGCAUUGAUAUGUGGAGACUCUAGUGAGUUCAUAAUUUCGAAAGUCUCUCACGAAGUAACAUUUAAUCACAAGAAUAUUGUGAAACGGCAAGUUAAACAAUGGGAUAUUUAAAAUCUAUUGGUACGGCAAUCAUAUACAUCGGUUUUUUCUUUGCUGUUAUCACCUUUUUACCAGGACUACCUCCAGAAGCCGAAUUUUCCGAAUAUAGUAUAAAAGAAUUUUCUGAUACAAAUCUUCAAUUUGAGCUAAAAAAUCGGUUACGAGGAGCUGAAGUGUUAUUUGCUGGAGAAUUUAAAGGACCGGAAAGUUUUGCAUCAUAUAAUGGGGAAUUGUAUACUGGUAUAUCUGGAGGUUAUGUUGUAAAGAUUGAUGGUAACAACAUUGUACCAGUCGUUAAAUUUGGUCAAAAGUGUGAAGGAUUAUGGCAAGAAGAAAAGUGUGGUAGACCCUUAGGUUUGAAGUUUAAUAACAAAGGAGAGUUGUUUGUUGCUGAUGCUUAUUAUGGUAUUUUUAAAGUUAAUGUAAAUACUCAACAGUUCACAAAUAUAGUGAAUACCUCCAAACCCAUUGAUGGAAAAGUUCCAAAAAUUGUUAACUCAUUGGAUGUUGCAAAAAAUGGGGAUAUUUAUUGGACUGAUUCAAGUAUCUACUUCUCUCUUCAUGAUGGAGCUUAUUCCAUAUUUGCCAAUCCAUCAGGAAGACUUAUUAGAUACAAUGCAGCAACAAAGAAGAAUGAAGUGUUAAUAAAGAAUUUAGGAUUUGCAAAUGGCAUUUUAUUAGCUGACGAUGAAAGUUUUGUAAUUGUGCUGGAGUGUCACACUUCACGUAUUAUCAAAUAUCACUUAAAAGGCCCUAAAACUGGACAACACGAAAUUUUUGCAGAGGCUUUGCCUGGAUUUCCAGAUAAUGUACACACUGAUGGACAAGGCGGUUUUCUAAUAUCUAUAAUUGCAUCUGUAGAUUCUGAAAAUCCUUGUUUACCUCAUUCUCUUAUACCACAUCCAUAUUUAAGAAAAAUGAUUAGUAGGUUUAUGUACCUAAUAGAAGCUCCAUUUAAAUUACUCAAAGAUGUUUAUCCAAAUUAUUAUGCAGAAAGAGUUAUAUAUUCAGUAGGUUCAUUUGAGACAUUAGGAAGUUUAGAUACAAAGAAAACGUCAAUAGUACUCAGAAUGGAUAAAACAGGAAAUAUUAUGGAUGCAAUUUAUUCAGAUGAUGGAACAGUUCACGAUAUAUCUUCUGCUUAUGUACACAAUGGAUAUCUGUGGCUUGGUUCUCCUUGGAAUGAGUAUCUAAUGAGAGUUCCACUAAACCAAGCAUUUCCACAUUUAAAAGAAAGUAAAACAUCAGCCCAUGUAAAACAAAGUAAAGAACAAGAACCACUUAUAACAGUUACAAACACACCGAAUCAUAAAGUAGAUGUGAAGCCUUCAAAAGCUAAACCAGCUGGUCAAGAAUCUACUCUAAAGCCCUCAACUACAGCACAAAAAGCUACAACUACGACAUCAAAGCCUACAACUACGACACCAAAACCUACAACUACGACACCAAAACCUACAACUACAACACCUAAACCUACAACUACAACACCAAAACCUACAACUACAGCACCAAAGCCAACCACACAAAAGACAACAACAGAGCAAAAGCGGUCUACUAAUGCUCCAAAACCACCCUCUUUGCCACCUUCUUCAAAAGCGCCAACGGUGGAGAUCAAACAAGAAAACCUUAAAGAAGAUAAGAAAGGAAACUCCAAAAAAAUUGUAAACGAGAACUUAAAAGAAGUGAAAAAAGAAUCUUCUACUACAAAUGCUAAUCCAACAACAACUAAUGUAAAAACUGAUUCAGUAAAGAAAAAUCGAGAAGAUACAAUGAAAUCAAAAUCUGAGGAACCCGCAAAAAGAAGUACUCCUGAAGGGAGACCAGAAAAAUCCAAGCCAAUUGAAAAAAAUAGUGAUUCCAUUAAAAAAUAGAUACUAAUAUGUUGAUAGUUACCACAAGUUUGGAUUAAAACUUCAGUCUAUUCCAUUCCAUGUUAUAAAGGUUCUAUAUAUUCCAGACAUAUCGACGUAAUUGUUUUGAUUUUACAUAUUUUUUUAUCAUUCCUACAUUCUGCUAUUAUAAGGAUAUAGAAUUUGCUUUCAUUUAUAUUAUUCUAAUAUAGUACCAUGUGUGAAAUAAUAUUAUAAGAUUAUUUUAUUUUAUUGUACUCGAUAUACAUGCGAUAGAAACGUCAGAAAACGUAUUAGAGACUGUGAUUUAGAUUUGUACAUAAAGUUGAGAAUAAU